rnacentral:rRNA from 1 species
GUGUCAGCAGCCGCGGUAAUACGAAGGGAGCUAGCGUUGUUCGGAAUCACUGGGCGUAAAGCGCACGUAGGCCGAUUCGUAAGUCAGGGGUGAAAUCCCGGGGCUCAACCUCGGAACUGCCUCUGAUACUGCGAAUCUCGAGUCCGGAAGAGGUGGGUGGAAUUCCUAGUGUAGAGGUGAAAUUCGUAGAUAUUAGGAAGAACACCGGUGGCGAAGGCGGCCCACUGGUCCGGUACUGACGCUGAGGUGCGAAAGCGUGGGGAGCAAACAGGAUUAGAAACCCUUGUAGUCC